rnacentral:misc_RNA from 1 species
AAGUCGUAACAAGGUUUCCGUAGGUGAACCUGCGGAAGGAUCAUUACUGUAUUCUAAUUGCCUGCGCUUAAUUGCGCGGCGAUUAAACCUUACACACUAUGUUUUUCUUUAUUAGAAACUAUUACUUUGGUUUGGCUAAGAAAUUAGUUGGGCCAGAGGUUUAUAUAAUCUUCAAUUUUUAUUGAUUGAUUUAUUAAAAUCUUUGUCAAUUUGUGAUUAAAUUCAACAAUCUUCAAAA